UACGAAGGGUGCAAGCGUUACUCGGAAUUACUGGGCGUAAAGGGUGCGCAGGCGGUGAGCUGUGUCCGAUGUGAAAGCCCCGGGCUUAACCUGGGAAUGGCAUUGGAAACUGGCUCGCUGGAGUGUGGCAGAGGGGGGUGGAAUUCCGCGUGUAGCAGUGAAAUGCGUAGAGAUGCGGAGGAACACCGAUGGCGAAGGCAGCCCCCUGGGCUAACACUGACGCUCAGGCACGAAAGCGUGGGGAGCAAACAGG
rnacentral:rRNA from 1 species